CCUUGGUGAAGACAAACCCCACAUUUCCUUUAAUGUGGGGAAGGAGCCUGUUAAAAGCAUACUUUGCUGUCAAAGUGCCAAUGUCAGCAUUUUUCACAUUUUGAGAAACCGGUGUCUGAAACCGUGCGUCUCUGGCUGUCAGGAGGUUUGGACAAACAGAGAUAGCGUGGAAACAGUUUUCUGUUUGCAGGGGGAACGACAAUACAGCACUACACAGGCUGUAUUAAAACUGACCUGCAAAUGACAUUUAAAAACUGGUAAAGUGAUAAUACUCACUUCUCCAAAGCAGGGUUGUUCUCCAGGUGACCACGAAUAGCCUUGCGCAUCAUGGUGUUUUUACCCAUUAGCACCACAGCUUUGCCACGCAGAGAACAGCGGAUGGUCUGCAUUUGCUUGGAG